rnacentral:rRNA from 1 species
ACACGGCGAGACCGCGGACGGCUCAUUAAAUCAGUCGNGGUCCAAAUGGGCCAGUGCAAAUCCUACUUGGAUAACUGUGGUAAUUCCAGAGCUAAUACAUGCAACUGAUAUCCCGAAGGCGGUGUUUGUGCUUGCUUGUCUUGCGCUUUCACUGCUCUGACGGAUGCUUUUAUUAGACCAAGCCGCUGAGGACUUGAGGGUUCGCGCUCUCUUGUUUGACUCGUGUGAUGGUGACUCUGGAUAACCAAAAUUUCUGACAAGCGCACGUACUUCUCUUCUGAGCGAGACGGCGCUGCCACUUUCGAGUGUCUGCCUUAUCAGCUAUCAACCGUUCGUUAUGCGCGACCGAUGGCUUUGACGGGUAACGGGGAAUCAGGGUUCGAUUCCGGAGAGGCAGCCUGAGAGACGGCUACCACGUCCAAGGACGGCAGCAGGCACGCAAAUUACCCAAUCCCAGCAAAUGGGGGAGGUAGUGACGAAAUCUAACGAUGCGGGCGCCCUUUCUGGGGCCCCGCAAUCGGAAUGGGCACUUUCUAAACAACCUGUUGAGAACCUACUGAAGGGCAAGUCUGGUGCCAGCAGCCGCGGUAAUUCCAGCUUCAGCAGCAUCUAUUAAAGUUGCUGCGGUUAAAAGGCUCGCAGUUGAAUGUCUGUAUCGAGCGCAGGUCAGGUGGACGUU